rnacentral:rRNA from 1 species
AUUGAACGCUGGCGGCAGGCUUAACACAUGCAAGUCGAGCGGGGGAAGGUAGCUUGCUACCGGACCUAGCGGCGGACGGGUGAGUAAUGCUUAGGAAUCUGCCUAUUAGUGGGGGACAACAUCUCGAAAGGGAUGCUAAUACCGCAUACGUCCUACGGGAGAAAGCAGGGGAUCUUCGGACCUUGCGCUAAUAGAUGAGCCUAAGUCGGAUUAGCUAGUUGGUGGGGUAAAGGCCUACCAAGGCGACGAUCUGUAGCGGGUCUGAGAGGAGGAUCCGCCACACUGGGACUGAGACACGGCCCAGACUCCUACGGGAGGCAGCAGUGGGGAAUAUUGGACAGUGGGGGGAACCCUGAUUCAGCCAUGCCGCGUGUGUGAAGAAGGUCUUAUGGUUGUAAAGCACUUUAAGCGAGGAGGAGGCUACUUUAGUUAAUACCUAGAGAUAGUGGACGUUACUCGCAGAAUAAGCACCGGCUAACUCUGUGCCAGCCGCCGCCGUAA